AAUAGUGUAGUGGAGGAUUUUAUUAUGCUUUCUUUUCAUAUUAUUAUACUUUAUUUUUCAUCCUAUUUUUCAUUUUUUAAUUACAAAGUUCAUUGAGUGUGUUUCACAUGAGAAUCAUGUUUUUCUGCUUACGUACAGAAUUAUGCUCUUUCUGUCUUUUCAGCAAGUACAAAUGUCCAAGGACUUAAACAUCAUGUGCAGUCCUAUAUGAUAAGAUAACGAAUGAAUCAUUUAGCUAGAAACCCAGUAAACGGUAGAGUUUACUGAGAACAAGACAUAUGUUUUAUGAUGUCAUUAGAUUUAUGUUUAACUGUUUGUUUCUUAAUCAGUGACGAAUUGAAGGUUGUUUCUCUAAAUGACGUGGUAACUGAUGAUUAUACGUGUUUCAGCAUCUACUAUAAAUGUGUGUUCAGCCUUGUGAUCGGGGCUCUUAGGUUUUUAAACUUCUUGCACCAUGGGGGUGAGAGCCUAUUCUGCAGAAUAUAUAAAAUUCAGACAAAGAAAAUUCUGUCGACAGUGUGUCUGUGUGAUCCUUGACUUUGACUCUUAGUGAGUAUUAUUUGAUGCGGCUAAAAUUCCACGACAAUAAUGGCGACGAGGAUGGGAUUCCACAGCUGUAGACUCCAGGUUUGGGAGAGACUGACUGAUCACCCCUGAGACAAGAGGUCUCGGGCUCCGUACCCCAGGCCUAAGGGAAGGGAGAGUCUCAACCAUUUCUGAAGUCAAAGCUGACGGAAUCUGGAAAAGAACCGUUGUGGUGGCAUCUGAAUAGAUAAUACGGUAAGCGUUAUUUCGUUCGUGACCAUGGGUCAGGGUAAUUCGAAAGGGAGUACAAAGUCAAUGGAUCUGGAAAAUGGCGUGUAUGCUCGAGUGAUCAAAUCAAAGGGCACGGGGGGCGUUGGAAAGCGUAAAAAUCUGGGAGAAAAGGUAUAAUUUUCCUCCUAAAGGGACACUGAGUGUAAAAGCACUCACUUUAUUAAGGGAAAAGAUCAUUGCGGAUGGCAGAGAAAUGAGAGCACAGAGUAAGAUAAAGACCAAGGACGAACUGACUCAGACUAAGUCAGAGCUAAACAUUAAGCAUAAUGUUUUCCUACAUCAGAUUCAUUACAUGAUGAACCUAACUUUCUGUUUUUUUUCCUCCUCCAUAUGCACCUGCACGUACCCCACCUGGGGUACAUUUCUCUUAUACAAAGGUACCUCUUCUAGACGGUGAUCUCCAACCCCCUCCAAGAAGACUCCCACAACCACCCGCACAAGAAGCAUUACCAAAAAAACCAACUGCACCCCCGCCACCGCCAGCACAAGAACUAUCACCUGGGCUAAACCCACCAAUCCUCCUCGACAGCAUCUUGGAAGAGGAAGAGGAGGGAGUCCAGAUAAAAACAUCAACACAGGAGAGGUAACAUCCUGGGAAUCCUACCUAAAGCAAAUGUUCCUCGGGGAACUUCAACCUGUAAUUUCAACAAAGGUGAAGCAAACCUGCAUCGGAUGGAAAUCAGGAAAGCUGAGUGAGGUCAUUACACAUUCUCUACAUGCUGAACGCCUGCAUGAAGAAAAACGAAAGCAGCAGAGAAAGGCAAAUCAACAACUAUCUUCAGCUUUUGUCAAGAUAAGCGAAUGGGGCCAGCAACGACAUAAUCAGCACAGUUUCCCUUCACAAGGACAACGUUUCCAGGAGAACUGGCAACAAAGAGAAAGAGAGAAAAAGAGCGAAAGCAGUGGCAAGAAAAUCAGAGAGAGAAGAUUUGCUGGUUUUGUUGACAGAAAGAACACUUGAAAAACCAAUGUUUUCAUUUCCUAAAUUCUCAAGAGCAACCAGAAUCCCAGGCGGACGCGGGAAACUUUGCGGGGUGUAAAGAAAAAGGGGACUGAAGCCAGGAGGGGGAAAGAGAGAAUCGGACGGAAGGGGGUAAGUCCAAUCUUGUUUUUUCUGCGGUUCAAAUGCCAUAUUAUCUGCUUGCUGAUUCUGUUUUUUCUGAUGUGUGUGAAAGGGAAAGAAACGCUCUAUGCAAUGAAGAACUUGCUUUGCUUGAUGUUAAUCGAGAGGCAUACUUUAAACUGCCUCUCGAAGAAAUAAUGGUUGAGGGACAGGUAUUGUUGUUUAUGGUAGACUCUGGAUGCAACUAACUCUGUCAUACGCAAAGAUGAAUUCCCAUUUGUCACCUUGAGUGGGCAGUUUAACUCAUCUAUUAGUGCUACGGGGCAUAUAGUGAGGGAAGAAUUUACUGCUCCACUCUGUUGUAUGCAUGACGGUAACAAGUUUAUGCAUAUGUUCCUUUUAUCUGACGCGUGUCCGGUAAACCUCAUGGGGAGGGAUUUGAUGUGUAAAAUUAAUGCUAGCAUCUUAUGUAACAACCAAGGCCUGAAUAUUUCUUGUUGGGAUCCCAGAAUGUCAUCUAUAUGUAUGUCUCUGUCUGUAUAUGUGUAUGAAUGGGCCUUUCUGAAUGAAGAGUUGCAUGCUGAAGGGAAGAUAAGAUUGCCACAAGCCAGCGAGGUCAUUCCAGCUGAAAACAUGCAUUGCACAAGCUCAUGUUGUUGACAUAACAGAAAGAGAGUGGCAAGAGAGAUGGUUUUACAGAGGGUUUUGACUUUAACCCAUAUAUGCUGGAAUGACUCAUGGUGUGUGGCACUCGUUAAAUUGACAGAAAAGCAAGAACAAAUUUUUGAUGUAGAAAAUUCGGUACCCCAUGUUUCCAUUGCAAAAAAUACCAGUCAGCCAUGGGAAAAAGCAGGUGAAUUUGCAAAGGCCUGCAGCGAGGCUGUUGAUUGGGAAAUGUUGUCAGAUAAAGUGCAGUUCUCAGAGCAGAUAACAGCACACAGGAGAAGUUUCUUUUUUCAUUGCUGAGGGAGAGAGAGUUGUAAUACAGAAAGCUGUUUCUGCAGAUUCAAAUUUACAAAACAGUUUGUCAGUACACAUGACGUGUGCUAGUAUUGAUUUACCGCAAGAGGUUCUUGACAAAGUACCUGACUACCUGUGGGCUAAAGAAAAAUAUGAUGUGGGUUUGAUUAAAGGGUGUGAACCAGUAGUUAUCACCCCAAAGAGUGAUUACAGACCAUGCAAACCUCAAUACCCUCUGAAAAGGGAGGCGCUUGAGGGAAUAAGGCCAGUAUUUGAGGCCUUAUUGGAGAAAGGGAUAAUUGUUCCAUGCCCAAACUCACCUGUGAGAGCACCCAUUUUUCCUGUACAAAAGGUCAGAGAUGCAGGUCAGCCCACAGAGUGGAGGUUUGUUCAAGACCUCCAAGCAGUAAAUGCUGCGGUGCAGGCAAGAGCACCUCACGUGCCAAACCCUUACACAAUUUUCUCACAGAUACCAGCUGAUGGCCAGUGGUUUUUCAGUGUAGUGGAUAUUUCAAGUGCAUUCUUCAGAGUUCUCUGUCCAUUCUGAUAGCCAGUUUUGGUUUGAUUUUACAUUUAAGGGGUACAGCGAGAGCCGCACUAUUUACAAACUCUGCAUUGCAUUGUUCAUUACAGACACUUGUGUUGGAUGAUGAUGUUGUUUUAUUGCAGUACGUGGAUGACCUCUUGGUGGCGGCACCGACUCAGCAGUCGUGCACAGACAACACCAUACGGCUGCUCACUCAUCUAUCUGAGGAGGGCCACAAGGUCAACCCCAAAAAGGUACAGUGCUCUGUCCAGAAAGUAACCUUUCUAGGACACGAAAUUACACCUAUGGGUAAGUCUCUCUCUCCAAAGAGAAUAGAGGCAAUAGCUAAUAUAACAAAACCCAUCACAAAGAAACAAGUAAUGUCAUUUUUGGGCAUGACAUCAUAUUGCAGGACUUUUAUUGCUAAUUAUUCUGAGAUGCAACAACCAUUGCAUGACAUGAUUUAUGAGAAACCUUUGUCACCAUCAGAGAAGGUAGAAUGGACAGAGACGGCUGAAAGGGCAUUUGUGGAACUAAAACAGACAUUACAGCAGGCACCCACUUUGGGGCUGCCAUAUCCAAAAAAGCCUUUUAUUCAAGUGGUGGAUGAAAGAAAUGGCUGUAUGACAUCUGUUUUGUUACAAGAGCAUGGUGACAAGUUGAGACCAGUUGCAUAUUUUUCAGGACGCCUUGAUGCGGUGGCCAGGGGCCUACCAGGAUGUCUCAGGGCAGUGGCAGCUGCAGAGAAAGCUGUGCAAGCGAGCAGUGAGUUUGUGGGGUAUGCACAGCUACGACUGUUGGUCUCACAUACUGCUCCAACAGCGCACAUCUCACUUGUCUGCAGCAAGGUGGCUGCGUUAUUCCUGUGCAUUGUUACAAAUGUCUAAUGUCACAGUUGAAAGAUGUACAGUUCUGAACCCGGCGACAUUGUUACCUACACCUGAUGAAGGUACACCACAUUGCUGUUUGUCUGCCCUACGGGAAGUAUGUACACCAAGGCCAGACCUUACUGACACACCCAUACCUAAUUGCACCCUGACAUAUUAUGUGGAUGGGUCCUCUUCCAGAGACGACAGAGGUAUAAACAGGGUGGGGUGGGCGGUCGUGUCUGACUUUGAAGUAGUGAAAUCCGGAUGCUUACCACCUCAUAAUUCUGCAAAGGUGGCUUAAUUGCAUGCACUAACACAAGCUUGUAAAAUUGCUACUAAUCAAUCUAUAACCAUUUACAUUGACUGCUUGUUUCUCUUUUAGAGGAAAGUUUACUCCUUUCUCAAAUAGCUGUGUGCAAAUGCAAAGCACACACCAAGGAACAGGACGUGAUCUCCAGAGGAAAUGCACGCACGGAUGCGGAAGCAUCUCUCAUGACUACUAACAAAAACGUUUCUCUUACACAGAUUUCCCAGGAAAAGGAAGCUGAGACAGCCCAGGAGUAAUUAAUAAGAAUGCAAACAUUUUCUCUCCUAACAGAAAUAGCUCUAUGGAAAUCGUGUGGAGCUACCAAGACUCCUGAAGGGAUUUGGAUGGGUCCAAAUCAAAAACUUUGUUUACCUUAACACUUUUAUUCCCAUUUUGCUAGGUUAACACAUGGCUUAGACCACGUGUCCAAAGGAGGAAUGCUGACAGCCAUGGCACAAAAUUGUUUCACAAAGGGUUUUUCUCCUGUAGCGCAGAGACAUUGUGAAAACUGUCAUAUAUGUCUGGGUAAUAAUGUUGCAAGAGGGGUAAAAACUGCACCUGUGGGGCAUCCCAAUCCUGACCAUUCACACAUGUAAUGAUGGAUUACAUUGAAUUGACACCAGCAGAAGGUAAACGUUAUUGUUUGGUGAUGACAGACAUAUUUUCGAAGUGGACUGAAGCCACGCCCACCAAACAUGCAGACAGUGCUGGGGUGACAAAAAAUGCUGUUGAAAGACAUUAUUCCUAGAUGGGGAAUCCCAAACAAAAUUUUCAGAGAUAAUGGAGCACACUUCACUGCUCAGGUGGUGAAAGAUGUGGGUAAAUUUUUGCAAAUCAAUUUGACCAAUCACUGCGUCUACCACCCACAAAGUAGAGGUGCAGUGGAAAAAGAGAAUGGCACCAUCAAGGCAAAACUAAGCAAAAUGUGUGAAGAAACAAAAUUAAAUUGGGUUCAGUGCUUACCACUGGUACUCAUGUACAUGAGAAUGAGGGUCAGAGAGUAUUUUUUUUUAAUACUUUUUGGAAGACCUCCACAUAUGGGGUGGGAACCACACAGGGUGACAGGUGAUACCCUUCGAAAUGAAAAUGACAUGUUGUAGUAUUGUAUUUCUAUGCCUUCUAUCCUUCAAAAUAUCUCAAAACAGGUUAAAGCAGCACUACCACGUCCAGUAGAAGAACCAUUACACAACAUCAAACCAGGGGAUUACGUGGUGGUAAAGAACCUCAGGAGGAAAUCCUGGAAAGCCAGACGGUGGGAGGGGCCAUUUCAGGUUCUGCUGACGACUCACACCGCUGUGAAGGUCGCGGAGCGUGCCACCUGGGUGCGCGUUGCCCAUUGCCGGAGGGUUGGUCCUGGACUGCAAGGUGUAAACCAAAGGGAGGACGGCUAGUCGACUGCUACGGACCACUUUUUCGUAUUGGUGGGAACCACAGAUACCUGUAUACUGCAAGUUUAUACGAAGAACGACACGAGAGAACUGCAACAGCUCACAAAGUAUUGGAGGACGACUCCAGUAUUCUGGGUUUGGUUUGGACACACGCACACGACAUCUUUAAUGAUAGCUUGGCACGACUGCACCGUGUGGUCCUACCAAACCCAAACCUACAAAGGAAAUUAAUCAACAAGGGCUCACGACCCCAACUCUAACUGUGCUCAGGGCUCACGACCCCAACUCUAACUGUGCUCAAUCCAGAAUCAUCAAGGGCUCACGACCCCAACUCUAACUGUGCUCAAUUUCUUCAAGAAAACGAACUAUUUUUCUCCUUUCAAAAAUGAGGUUCAUGAUCAUACUAUGUGUGUGUGCAUUUUUACUUUUCCAACUGCACAGAACUAUAUGCACACUAUGGUUAAGGGUAAUAACCAGAGCUACGUAACGAUGACAGUAAAUGGAGUUAUGAAUAAAUCAUAAAAAGGGAGGAGUGUAGUGGAGGAUUUUAUUAUGCUUUCUUUUCAUAUUAUUAUACUUUAUUUUUCAUCCUAUUUUUCAUUUUUUAAUUACAAAGUUCAUUGAGUGUGUUUCACAUGAGAAUCAUGUUUUUCUGCUUACGUACAGAAUUAUGCUCUUUCUGUCUUUUCAGCAAGUACAAAUGUCCAAGGACUUAAACAUCAUGUGCAGUCCUAUAUGAUAAGAUAACGAAUGAAUCAUUUAGCUAGAAACCCAGUAAACGGUAGAGUUUACUGAGAACAAGACAUAUGUUUUAUGAUGUCAUUAGAUUUAUGUUUAACUGUUUGUUUCUUAAUCAGUGACGAAUUGAAGGUUGUUUCUCUAAAUGACGUGGUAACUGAUGAUUAUACGUGUUUCAGCAUCUACUAUAAAUGUGUGUUCAGCCUUGUGAUCGGGGCUCUUAGGUUUUUAAACUUCUUGCACCAUGGGGGUGAGAGCCUAUUCUGCAGAAUAUAUAAAAUUCAGACAAAGAAAAUUCUGUCGA